rnacentral:rRNA from 1 species
UGCCAGCAGCCGCGGUAAUUCCAGCUCCAAUAGCGUAUAUUAAAAUUGUUGCGGUUAAAACGCUCGUAGUUGGAUAUCUGCCAAGGAGUUUCGGUCCUCCCCAGUGGAGAAUACGCGGAACAUUUCUUGGCACUUGUUCAGGGAAGGUGUUUGCACUUUGUUGUGCGUCACGUGAUCUGAAUUUUUACUUUGAGGAAAUGAGAGUGUUUCAAGCAGGCUUUUGCCGUGAAUAUGAUAGCAUGGAAUAAUAGCACAGGACCCCUUUCCAAAGCUGUUGGUUUUUGGAACGAGGUAAUCAUAAUAAGGACAGUUGGGGGUAUUCGUAUUUAACUGUCAGAGGUGAAAUUCUUGGAUUUUUUAAAGACGAACUAUUGCGAAGGCAUCUGCCCAGGAUGUUUUUGUUGAUCAAGAACGAAAGUUAGGGGAUCGAAGACGAUCAGAUACCGUCCUAGUCUUAACCUUAAACUAUGCCGACUGGAGAUUGGAGUCGUCAGUCCUUGACGUCUUCAGCAUCCUGAGAGAAAUCUAAGUCUUUGGGUUCCGGGGGGAGUAUGGCCGCAAGGCUGAAACUUAAAGGAAUUGACGGAAGGGCACCACCAGGAGUGGAGCCUGCGGCUUAAUUUGACUCAACACGGGAAAACUUACCAGGUCCAGACAUAGAUAGGAUUGACAGACUGAUAGCUCUUUCUUAAUUCUAUGGGUGGUGGUGCAUGGGCCGUUCUUAGUUGGUGGAGUGAUUUGUCUGGUUAAUUCCGUUAACGAACGAGACCUUAACCUGCUAAAUAGUUUCCAAAACUUCGGUUUUCGGCUUACUUCUUAGAGGGACUUCGUGUGUUUAACAUGAGGAAGUUUGAGGCAAUAACAGGUCUGUGAUGCCCA